rnacentral:rRNA from 1 species
CCUACGGGAGGCAGCCGUGGGGGAUAUUGGACAAUGGGGGGAACCCUGAUCCAGCGACGCCGCGUGAGUGACGAAGUAUUUCGGUAUGUAAAGUUCUGUCAGCAGGGACGAAAGAAAUGACGGUACCUGACAAAGAAGCCCCGGCGAACUACGUGCCAGCAGCCGCGGUAAUACGUAGGGGGCAAGCGUUAUCCGGAAUUACUGGGUGUAAAGGGAGCGUAGACGGGUAUGUAAGUCUGGUGUGAAAGCCAGGGGCCCAACCCAGGGACUGCUCUGGACACUAUUGUACUUGAGUGCAGGAGAGGUAAGCGGAAUGCCUAGUGUAGCGGUGAAAUGCGUAGAUAUUAGGAGGAACACCAGUGGCGAAGGCGGCUUACUGGACUGUAACUGACGUUGAGGCUCGAAAGCGUGGGGAGCAAACAGGAUUAGAUACCCUUGUAGUC